AGCCAGGUCCCACGCAAUAGGACAUCGCCCAACCCCGUCAGGUCCGGAAGGAAGCAGCGGUCAGCGAUCGGACUAUGUGCCGUGGGUCAGCCUGGCUUUU
rnacentral:SRP_RNA from 1 species